CGGUCGGAUACAUUGCCUGUC
rnacentral:siRNA from 1 species